UGUAUCUGAAGUCUGACGAGGAUGAGAACCUCCGGGGGCAAGAGGUUCGACUCGAGCGAAGCGAGAGAACGUUGCGUCAGCAA
rnacentral:sRNA from 5 species